CUUCUUUCCUUCUCUUCAAUCAGCGGCGGCAGACUGGAGGAUCUAAAGCGAGACAAGACAGAGAGAUAGUGCAGAGAGAGGGGGGAGAGAGAGAGAGAGAGAGAGAGCAAGAGAGAGGCUGAGACACACGACACACGCCACCUAUCUUCACACGGAGGGAUAAUGGACGAGUGCGCAUCUCAGGGGAAGCGUCCCAAGUUUGUUACCUUUUUUUUAUUCCUUUUUUUACUUAUAUAAAAAAAAAAUUAUUUAUCAAUAUGACACGUCUAGUCUUAAAUCUAGAUUAUUGUAGAUAGUUUUUUAUAUUUUCUAAAUAAUAAUAAUAAUAAUUAGAACACAAAACAAGUAGUUGCACGUAUGUUUUUAUUUAUUCUUCUUUCUUUAUGUGGGUUGAAGAAGUCGUUCCUGGAGUUUAAAACAGGAUUUAUUUCUACACUGAUUGGGGUUAGUGUGCGGUUUGGGACGGAGCCUGGGGGUCCAUCGUGCUGCCUUCAUGAGCGACACGAUUUGCGGUAAAAUGCGAGUUUCUGAUUGAACAGCGUCCCGUUUAAGUCGCAAGAAAAUAAUCAUUUAAAAAAGGAGAUAAAUUAUUAGGAUGAUUAAAUGUACAAUUUGGGGGCUCUGGUGGAAUCAGUGUGCUCUUCAUGGAGGAGAAAUCCAGUGGAUUGUGAUUGUACUUUCCAGAUGUGACCGGGUUGAGUAUGUAUUUUAUAUUAUUAUCAUCAUUUUUAUUAUAAUUAUUAUAAAUAAUAAUAAUUAUUAUAAUUGUAACCUGCAUUUACUAUUCUCUCAUGUCAUGUAAAUACAUUUUUCUUUUUUCUUUCUCUUUUUUUUAAAGUUAAUUAUGUUAUUAUUACGCAAAUGUUUAUUUUUAUUUGUAAUCGAUUUAUUAAGAGAGAGAAAAAAGUGCCCUGUGCGCGUGAACCGGGGGGUGUGAUGAGGGUGGG